GCCUUCAUUUAAAGAAAAAGCGCCGCUGUUGGAAGAGUACAACAGUUCGUACGAAAGCCUUGUGUGUCUUCCCAGUAAUGGCGGCAUGCUCUUCACAGAGAGACACUCUCGCCCAGCGGAAUGGCUUCUUGACAGCCACCUUAAGAAGACAGGAACUAAUUACAAAAUGAUUUGAUUGUGACAGACUGCUAGUAACAAAAGUGUCUAAAGAAACAAAUUUAAUUAGUCUCUAAUUUUUCUGAUAUCUGUUAUGUGUAGAAAACCAGGUGUGGUUCAUCUUUUCAGUUAGGUUCCUUUUUUAUGGUUGAAUCAUUCAUAGGUCAAUACUAGGUGGUUCACUUAGCAUUGAUCAUUGGCUGAGGACUUUUGCACAGAACUGUUGCUUAAUAGAUUUAAAUAGUUAAUGGCUGAAUCAUUUGUGAAAGAUUUGUUGUGCAUUCACCCAAGGACUCCCACCUAAACUGUUAUUGAACAGCAGAGAGAGGAAAUGUUUAAUGCCUUUCCUGAGAAAAAAUAAUCAUCUUAAAGGUUAGUCCUAAUUAUAAGUGUUGUUCGCUGAGUUAUGUGCAUGUCAAGAGUUAUUGUGAAGUGUUUUCUACUUUGAUUAAAGCCAUUUUAAAAAUUAAGGCAGAGAGUUGAGAUACAUUGGAGAAAUAUCUGCAGUGUUGUACAAGACAACAGCCUGUACUAAGAGCUCAAACAGAUGUUUAGUGUCUAGCAGUGAGACUCUCUCUUGAAAUUCUUUCUCUCUCUCUCUCAUUCACUUGCUUCCUCUCUCUCCCUGUUAGUCCUUCCUUGAACUCUCAAGAACAUGCAAUUCCGAUCUGGUAAUCUAAACUCUGUGUGAUAUGAAAACAAAUAGUUUGUGUGGCCGUAGAACUCAAUUUAUUGUUUUGAACUGGAAUUUGGCACUUUAGGGGAUAUUUAAGACUAAACCUUCGUAAACAAUAGAGGCAUCGUGUUUAAAGGUUAUUACUGUAUUCAACCUCCUGGAGUGUUGGAUAGCAGAAUCAAAACAUAGCAGAAAAUCAUUUGUAAUAAAAAAAAAUAGGAAAGAAAUUAUGUUGUUCUUACAUAAGUUUUUAAAUUGAAGUACAUAAUGUGCACUAUGUGUGUCCUGACAAGCUUGAAUUGUGACCCAUCAUUAAAUACACAGUCA